rnacentral:piRNA from 1 species
UGUGGUGAUGGUGAUGAUCAGUGUGGCC